rnacentral:tRNA from 1 species
UGGGGUGUGGCUCAGUGAAAGAGUGCAAGCCUCGCAUACAUAAGAAAGGUCCUGGGUUCAAUCCCUAGCACCACAA